rnacentral:rRNA from 1 species
AUUGAACGCUGGCGGCAGGCUUAACACAUGCAAGUCGAGCGCGCGGCGGACGGGUGAGUAAUGUAUGGGAAACUGCCCGAUGGAGGGGGAUAACUACUGGAAACGGUAGCUAAUACCGCAUACUAUCAGAUGUGCCCAGAUGGGAUUAGCUAGUAGGUGGGGUAAAGGCUCACCUAGGCGACGAUCCCUAGCUGGUCUGAGAGGAUGACCAGCCACACUGGAACUGAGACACGGCCCAGACUCCUACGGGAGGCAGCAGUGGGGAAUAUUGCACAAUGGGCGCAAGCCUGAUGCAGCCAUGCCGCGUGUGUGAAGAAGGCCUUCGGGUUGUAAAGCACUUUCAGCGGGGAGGCGUUACUCGCAGAAGAAGCACCGGCUAACUCCGUGCCAGCAGCCGCGGUAAUUC